CCUCGAACUCAAGAAAUCGGCUUGCCUCUGCCUCCCGAGUGCUGGGAUCAAAGGCGUGCGCCACCACGCCUGGCUCGCCUUUUCUCUGUAUACAUUGUUGCAUUUUGCUUUGUUUUUGUUUUUGAGAUAGGAUAUUGUGUAGCUAAGGCUGGUGGUCUCUGACUUACUAUGUAGCUGAAGCUGGCCUUUCUUAACCUCCCACCUCCACCUCUCCAUCGCAUGCCUGAGCUGCCACUUCCGUCUGUAUUUAUUGUUUCGUGCUAUGGUAGGCAUCAGACUCUGUGGUAGGUAGCGUGCCCUGAGUUCAUCCCCAAGACCACCAAAAGUAAAAGGAAGUAGCCAGCUGUGACAGCGCAGGCCUGUAAAUCUAGCACUCAGGCAGGAGGAUUCGGAGUUCCACGACAGAUGACUUAGCAAGCUCUCAUCUCAGAAAAGGGGAAGGGAGUAAAGUAGAAUAUGGUCUCCGCGCCCGGGAACACUGCCUCGCUCUUUUGCUGAUGUCCUGAUUCAGGGCCAUGACUCAGAGCUCCAGCCUGGUGACUGUAAGAUCUUACCUGUACCCUGCAGAGAAGCACUUUCAGUUUUGCUGGGUUUUGGUUUGAGUCAGGGUCUCAGUAUGUAGCCCAAGCUGUCCUGGAACUCACUUUGUAGACCAGGCUAGCCUCAUGCAGAGAUCUGUCUGCCUCUACCUCCCACGUGCUUGGAGUUCCCUCUUUUUAUGCACGGUGCUGGGGGGGUGGGGGCGGGGGGGGGGGGCAGUGUGCAGAUUCCCUAGGCAAACGAGGAGCAGAGCCAGGUGCUGUUUUAUGAGUUGAGCUAAAGCCACUACCCCUUUAUUUGGUGACCUCUCUUUUGGACAUAGAGACAUCCUUUUCUAGACAUGUCAGGUGAGUUAGUUAGGGUUUCUAUUGCUGGGAUGAAACACCAUGACCAAAAGCAACUUGGGAGGAAAGGGUUUAUUGAGCUUACAUUUCCACAUCACUGUUCAUCACAAAAGGAAAUCAGGAACUCAAACAACAGGAACCUGGAAGCAGGAGCUGAUGAAGAGGCCAUGGAGGGUGCUGCUUACAGGCUUGCUUCUCAUGGUCUGCUCAGCCUGCUUGCUUAUAGCGCCUAGAACCACCCUACCCCGCCAAUCACUAAUUGCAGAGAUGUCCUACAGGCUUGCCUACAGCCAGAUCUUAGGGAAGCGUUUUCUUAAUUGAGGCUCCCUCCUUGCAAAAUACUUUAGCUUGUCUCUCAAAUCGACAUAAAAUUAUCAGCACUGGGGGCUGGAGAGAUGGCUCAGCGUUUAAGAGCACUGACUGCUCUUCCAAAGGUCCUGAGUUCAAAUCCCAGCAACCACAUGGUGGCUCACACCAAUCUGAUGCCCUCUUCUGGGGUGUCUGAGGACAGCUACAGUGUACUUACAUAUAAUAAUAAGUAAAUUUUAAAACAUUUAAAAAAAUAAAAUAAAAUUAUCAGCACAUCAUGUAAGUAGAAUUAUAAAAUAUUUGUUCCUACUUACCCAGUGUAUUGUUUCCAACCAUGACAUAGUAUUUAUGAGAGAUAUAUUUGGUUUUGUGGCUUCAUCUUCUGCAGAUACCCAUUGUUGCUCCGCAUGUUCACCUGUCACUGGGUGCACACUUGUGCGCUACCAUCUUUGAACGACUUGUUGGACUGCAAGCAGGAACCACCACACCCUGUCUAUGUGGUCCUCGGGGGCGUCUGCCCAUGUGGUACACCAAUACCCAUGUCAGCGCAUCUCCACGUCAGUCACGUGACGGCCUUAGCUUUGGUUUGUUGAGGACUCUCCACACUUCUUUCCAUAAUGGCUGCAGUAAUUCACAUCCCUACCAACAGUGAGCAGGGAUUCCCCGCUCUGCACAGCCAAGCCGGCUGUCGGCAUCUUUUCUUUUUGUUAAAACCGCCACAUCUGGAGUGAGGUGACACCUCACUGUGGUUUCAGUUUGCGUUUCCUGAUAACUAGAGAUGGCGAACAUUUUAAAAAAGCACUUCCUGCCGUUGUGUGUCUUUGCAGAGUAGUUAACUUGAUCUGUUCUUUCUCCUUUCUUCUUUUCUAGUUCUGAGAUGCUGCUAGACUUGUUGCUCAUGUUUAACCAAGUUGUCUGGUUUUUGCUAUCAAGUUGUGUGAGUCCCCUGUAUGUUCUGGAUAUGAAUCCCUCGACAAGUUUGCAAACGUUUUCUCCUAUUCCGAGGAUUGUCUUUCCAUUCUUUAUUACAUCUUAUUUACCGUGUGUGUGCAUAGUGUAUUUCUGUGCAUGUGUGUGUCCUAGGAACAGAGAUCAGAGGACAACUUGAGAGUGAGUUCUCUCUGCUACUCUGUGGAACCCCUAGGCUUGAACUCAGGUCAUCAGGCUAGGUGCAAGUCCCCCGUGGUGUGAGCCCUCUCUCUGGACUCUUCACUCUUAAAAAAUAUUAUUUAUUUACAUCAACGUGUGUGUAUGUCUUUUAUGUGCAAGUGCCUGAGGUUAGCGGCAUCCCUUGGAGCUGGAGUUAGAAGCAGUUGUGAGCUGCCUAGUGUGGGUGUUGGGAAUUGAGCUCUGGUCCUCUGCAAGUCAAUACCUGUUCUUAACCACUGAGCCAUCUCUCCAGCCACUUCUCUCCAUUCUUCUGAUGACUUUCCAUAUGCAGAAGUUUAGUCUGAUGUCAUGACAUAUUUUAGCAGAUGCCUGUUAGUACCCUAAUAUUUUAAUUGACUUUUAUGCAAUUUUCCGUAAGUAAAUUGGUCUUCAAUUUUCUUGUAUCAUCAUUAUUUUGUUUUGGCAUCAGCGUACAUUAACUUCAUAAACUCUCAAGGAACAUGUCUAAUUUUUGAAAACUAAUUAAUUGGUUAAUUUAGUGUAUGUAUGUGUGUGGUUGUCAGAGGACAGCUUUCGGGACAGAGUUCAAGGAGUUCCACCACUUUGAGGCGGUCUCUCUCUCUCUCUAUGUUUCUCUCUCUGUGUCUCUCUUUCUAUGUCUCUCUCUCUGUGUCUCUAUGUCUCUCUCUCUAUGUCUAUCUCUCUCUGUGUCUCUCUUUCUAUGUCUCUCUCUAUGUCUCUCUCUCCCUCUCCUUCCCCCUCUCUCUGUCUCUCCCUCCCUUCAUCCCCCCCUCCGUCCCUUCUUCCCUUCUUCCCUCUCUAUCUAUCCCUCUGUCUCUGUCUCUCCUUUCUCUCCCUCUCCCUUUGUCUGUCUGUCUGUCUGUCUCCCUCUCUCUUUCUCUGCUGCUGCCUUGCUGCUACUCCAGACUAAUGGCCCUAUUCUCCUGUAGAACCAUUUCCCCAUUCUGAGUUUUCCCCUACCCCUUCUUUUUAUUCAUUGGAACAUAAAUAUUUGUUUUCUUUUA